GGGGGCGAUCGGAUUCGACUGGUUCACCGAGGGUGCAGGUUGCGUGUCGUGGUUGAUCAGUUGGCCACGUAAAAAGCUGAUCACACAAUAACUGCCAACAAGCAGUACGCUCUGGCUGCCUAAAGCUGCCACCGGCCCGUGAGCUCCGUCUGAAGCGAGCGGAUCGCCGGUCACCCUCAGACUGGUUUCGAGCUAACGUCCCCGCAAGGGGGCGGACGACGGCAACUCUCGAAACGAGAACACAUGGCUGUCUGGCUGACGUUCGGGUCUGUUGGUUGUUCCGAACGGCAGUGAGAUCAAACGACCGAAUACACACGUAGACGCCGCAUCUCAGGGCUCUCAGGACGCGGGUUCAAUUCCCGCCGCCUCCACUU
rnacentral:tmRNA from 1 species